rnacentral:lncRNA from 1 species
UUUAAAAACUAGUGAUCUCAUCUGAUCUUUCUGUUUUAAACAAGGUAGUUUUUGAUGGUUUACUAGACGUGACAUCACAGUUUCCUGUUUCGUAUUUUAGCUACACUGGAGAGAGCCAGUUGCCUGCGUCCUACUGCUAUGGGGGCUAAUAUCCCUGAAAGAACUGCCAGGACAUCUUGUGAGAGAAGUUCAUGUUCAUGUCGGUUGGAGUGGAAGCUAGGAUGGUCACGGAACAGUUCUUGUCUCAGGCCAUGGCAACUAGACUGAAUGUAAUCUGGCCCUUUUAUUUUCUCACUUUCAUUCAAAUGAAGCCCUAUAACAAGGCAGGAGAGAGAGAGUGAGAGCGAGAGAGAGAAGAAAAUAUGAGGUCAAAAUAACAAACGACAUUUAUCAAAAAAUAAAAUUGAUCUCUUUUGCUAUAGUAAAGGCUCU